rnacentral:rRNA from 1 species
UACGGAGGGUGCAAGCGUUAUCCGGAUUUACUGGGUUUAAAGGGUGCGUAGGUGGGUCUGUAAGUCAGUGGUGAAAUCUCCGAGCUUAACUCGGAAACUGCCAUUGAUACUAUAGGUCUUGAAUUAUCUGGAGGUAAGCGGAAUAUGUCAUGUAGCGGUGAAAUGCUUAGAUAUGACAUAGAACACCAAUUGCGAAGGCAGCUUACUACGGAUCGAUUGACACUGAGGCACGAAAGCGUGGAGAUCAAACAGG